rnacentral:lncRNA from 1 species
UGGAGGCUGGUGCCUGGGCCAGUGACGUAACUGGCAACCUCCGCCCUCAAGCUUUGACGUCACUGAUGCCCUCAAAUGCGCGUGACCAGGUAAGUUUUUCUCAAGGUGUAACAUUACGGAAGAGCUUGUCGAAAAGAUGUAAUCGAAAAAAAAAAUCCUGAUCCGAGUUUGCGUAAGUCUGAUAUCGAAUAGCACAAGGUCAUCUUUGUCGUAAAAAGAAAAAAAAAAUUAAUCAAGUCUUUCACGUUGUUUCUUUUAGGAUCACAGACACAAGAUUUUAUCAUGUAAUAAUAAAAUUAAAUUUUAAUUUAAUAAACAAAGGAAAAGUUUAAA